rnacentral:rRNA from 1 species
AGAUUGAACGCUGGCGGCAUGCCUAACACAUGCAAGUCGAACGGGAGUAGCAAUACUCUAGUGGCGGACGGGUGAGGAAUACGUAGGAAUUUGCCCUUAAGUGGGGGAUAACCCGGGGAACCCGGAUUAAUACCGCAUGACCUCGAAAGAGCAAAGUGGGGGAUCGCAAGACCUCACGCUUUUGGAGAAGCCUACGUCGGAUUAGCUAGUUGGUGAGGUAAUGGCUCACCAAGGCGACGAUCCGUAACUGGUCUGAGAGGAUGAUCAGUCACACCGGAACUGAGACACGGUCCGGACUCCUACGGGAGCAGCAGUGGGGAAUAUUGGACAAUGGGCGCAAGCCUGAUCCAGCAAUGCCGCGUGUGUGA